rnacentral:misc_RNA from 1 species
AAAGUCGUAACAAGGUUUCCGUAGGUGAACCUGCGGAAGGAUCAUUACCUGGCCUUGGGCCGCUCGCGGGAGCUAGUCGCUUGCGACGACGCUGCCGAGGGUGCUUAGCCCUUGACUUAUCACCUUGACUAUGUGCACCUUUUGUUGUUUCCUCGGCAGGUCAUCUGCCGCCAGGAACCCUCUAAACCUUUUUGCAAACAGCAUCCAAACUUCUGAAAACAAAACAAAUUAUUUACAACUUUUAACAAUGGAUCUCUUGGUUCUG